UACGUAGGGCGCAAGCGUUGUCCGGAAUUAUUGGGCGUAAAGAGCUCGUAGGCGGUUUGUCGCGUCUGCCGUGAAAGUCCGGGGCUCAACUCCGGAUCUGCGGUGGGUACGGGCAGACUAGAGUGAUGUAGGGGAGACUGGAAUUCCUGGUGUAGCGGUGAAAUGCGCAGAUAUCAGGAGGAACACCGGUGGCGAAGGCGGUGCUCUGGGCCGAUACUGACGCUGAGGAGCGAAAGCGUGGGGAGCGAACAGG
rnacentral:rRNA from 1 species